UGGGGAAUAUUGCACAAUGGGCGCAAGCCUGAUGCAGCAACGCCGCGUGAGGGACGACGGCCUUCGGGUUGUAAACCUCUUUUGGCAGGGAAGAAGCGAAAGUGACGGUACCUGCAGAAAAAGCACCGGCUAACUACGUGCCAGCAGCCGCGGUGAUACGUAGGGUGCAAGCGUUGUCCGGAAUUAUUGGGCGUAAAGAGCUCGUAGGCGGUUUGUCGCGUCUGCUGUGAAAACCCGAGGCUCAACCUCGGGCCUGCAGUGGGUACGGGCAAACUAGACUGCGGUAGGGGAGAUCGGAAUUCCUGGUGUAGCGGUGGAAUGCGCAGAUAUCAGGAGGAACACCGAUGGCGAAGGCAGAUCUCUGGGCCGUAACUGACGCUGAGGAGCGAAAGCAUGGGGAGCGAACA
rnacentral:rRNA from 1 species